CAGAGAGAAGUAGUUCCGGCUACGAUGUUCUUCCGCAAGACGCAAGCAGUUCUGUUUAUUAACCGCUAGAGCGUCAAAAGUUACCUACCGCAGCUGUAAGAGCUCACAUAAUUAAAGCGGCAGACAACAUAACUUCAAUGCACGCUUAUAAUAAACAAUGUUAUUGUGUGUUGGCAUGGACACUAAUAUAGUUAUUGAUAGCUAUAUUAGACUUGUGGCCAGUUGGCAGGCUACACAAAGAUUUGUCAAAGUAACUUUUUCAGACUUUUUUAGCAUUGUGAAACAAUAACCGUUUUAUUUUUCACUUUUUAAGCGGUUUUGUUUGGUGGUCCUCAACGUUCAUUUCAUUUAAGGGGAAGGAGUAGUACUCAUGUCAUUCUCGCAGCACCUCUUCUAAAUCUACAGCACAAAACAGUAUAUGUAGUUCACAGAACACAUUAAUCUUAUGAGACGUUUCUCAAAAAAUAUAGCACAUCCAGUGUAGUACGAUCCCUGAAUGAAUGACUGUAAUGUGCUGGUUCUUUUAGUGAAUCAAAAACAGUGCACACUUAACAAACUUAAAGGCAGGGUAGGCGAUUUGCUUCAAAACCAUUUUUUGUUUUGCUGGUUGAAAGUCUCUUCACAUCCCAUAAUCACUAUUAUUAUUAUUACUAUUUAUUUAUUCUGUGGGAGGCAUAGGACCAUAAAAUGUUAGUCCAAUCAUAUCCCUCGGUCCGAGGGCUACGAUAUUAUGCGCUUUGUACUAAAAUGUUUUCUCAACAGUAAAUGAGACAUGAUGGAAUCUGACAGCGUUGCGUUCAAAAUUACAUCAGUAGUGCUUGUCAUGUGUUUUGGGGGAGGCGUGGCUUUGAAGAGUGAUUUGCAGGUAGGGUGUGAUCUUAUGCUUUCAAAACUAGCUUGAUAUUGCUAGCCUCUCCAAAUUCACCAAUCCUACCUUUAAAACUUAUAUUGAAACAUGUAGUUGCAGAUGCACAUGAAGUUUGUCAGUAGUAUAUUAUUAAAAUAAAUGUUAGUCAUACUUUUUUUUUGUUUUGGUGUUGCUGUACUUUUUGCUAACAGUCCAGUUUUGAAUCUGUCCUGUAUUGCAGGUGAAACUAAGCGGUUGUCCUUUAACACUGAUGUUCAAGUGUCAGUCAUUGGAUAUCUACUUACUGUGCAUUGAUGGACACCCAAUCAAUCUGAGGGUCUUUGAAGAAGAUAUCACAAGCAUUAUCCAUCUCCAUUAAACUCCAGAAUCUCAAGGGCUGAAUCCAUUUUCUCUCUGUAUCAAUUGUAAUCUGGACUGAUUAGUGUGUGAUUAGAAUGCAUGACUGUAACUCUCCCUGCCCAGUAACUCAAAGCCCAGAAGCAUCAAUGAUAGGUCAGCUUCUACAGCAAAUGGAUGAGAUUGAAGGAGUCAAUUCUUGUUCCUUGUGAGAUAGAAGAGGCUUAUGGAUCAGACUCAAACUGUGUGAAAAUCUACAGACUUUGUGCAGAAAGUAAAACUCCUUUAUGUUCAAAGUAGGCAUCGAAAAAAGGAAGUGAAGAGAAGGAGACAAGAGACAGAAGAAGAUUACCACACGAACAUAACCCAUCCGUUCCCUGUCAGAAGAAGCCAGUAAUUUAUAACACACAUUAGGUAUUGUACACAUGAUUUCUUAGUCAAGUUGGCGCACCACUUUUAUCACACACCAUCCAUCUGAAUCAUAUUGUAGUUCAGCAGUAGCACAACUGUGUCCUCUGGCUUCUUUCCUAAUGUAUUUGUAGACUUUCCUUUUCAGAUAUUUUCUUUUUGCUGUGAUCUAACCCAUUAUGACACCAUCAGCACAAAUUUCCCCUCAGGCCCACCUGACGAGACCAUCGGGUUAAUUGCAAAAAGUCUCAUUAGCGUUAUCAUACAGGCAGCCAUUUGAAUUACAAGAAGCACAAUACUUACCAGAGCACAUAGGGAGUCCAAUGAAUGGAAUAUGAGUGUGUGAUGAUCAACUAGUGCAGAUAACCCCGGGCAAAAAACAACAUUAUUCUUUAAUAUCUCUGUCUCUUCGAACCACAGGAACACAGAUCACAGAUAGUGUUUGAGUGAAGCUAUCAGUGCAGAAGUGAAUAUCAAAGCCAAGGAGACAUCAGAGAGGUGAGGACAUUUGAUUCCAUCUAUCAGUUUUGUCUACUGGCAACCUAGAUUAAAGAAGAUUAUCAGAUACUUUAGGUACUGCUGUUUUGGCAGUUCAUCAGUCUUUGUGAUAUUAUGAUGAUUUUUAUUUUUUAGACAUUUUUUUUUUUUCCAGUUAGCUUGAUGUUAGACUGGGACGCCGCCACUUAACUGUGAAAAAGGAAACAAAAUACAUCUCAGUAUAAAGAGCAAACCAAAUGGAAUUGUGGGUGUUGAGACGUCACAUUGUGUGGACAGCUGAUAGAUUUUCAUUGAUUUUUUUCAUUGUCUCCUGCCUCCUUUUCACUGUAAAGUGUCUAUUAUUAUUAUUGGCUUUGAUUUUACAGAACGUAUUGACAUCUGUGCAGUGCAUAUAAAUGUGGCACAAACAGAUGAGACCAUUUAAUGGUGAGCGUGUUUGGCAGUAAAUGGAUCUGUCGAUUGAUUGGUUUUUGACUAGAGCAUAUGAAUAUACUGUAUAACCUUAUCUGGACUACAAAACAAUUUAAUUGGGAAAUAAAAUGUGACUGGAACUCGCUGCCAAAAGAGCCCACCCCAAGACCUCACAUUAGCAAUAUAUAGUUCAAAAUAAACAUGAGUGCUUACAGACAGCAUACAAGGAAGGUAAAUGAUGAGUGUGAAUUGGUGUGCCAGCAGCUUCUGUGGCUUCCUCCACUGAGCAGAUCAAACAAGCUUCUGCUUAAUGCUUUUCAUUUAUCAAAUACAGCCCCAUCAGCAGACAAGCAACAGUCUCAACGGUGUGCUAGAGCUCUGAAACAUUAAUGACAGAUGUCACCGCAGAAAGGUCUGAGUCGUGGCAGAGAGGCUAACAGAGAACUUAGGUAUCAGACUGACAAUUAACCCUGGUAAGUGCACACACACACACACACACACACACAUCUACAAUCUCCAGUAGUCAUUUCAGUCUUCUGAAAUGAGACACAAUGUUUUUGGUUUUAGUUUUAGUCCAGUGUAAAGCACUUAACACUAUCACAUGGAGACACUGAUUCUCUGAUUACUUUUUUAGUAUGUAUAUAUUGAUACAUUAACAUUUAAUUGCAGCUUAAGUAAUUGUUUUUAAUGUUUUUAAGCAGAAGAACUAAAAAGAAAAUGAAUUACAGAAAUACGGUAGCAAUAUUUUCUGUCUGCACUUCAUUACCGCUAACUGUUGUUCUGCUAUUAUUAUGAAUAGUCACCUCCUUAUCAGCUCAUUAGCCAGCAAAUUGUCUGUAAGCAGUGCAGGUGUCAUGAUGGUCAGAGAUUUCACCAAGCUGAGGAGGAAUCACUAAAAUUGGCUCAAGAGGUCAAGCACGUUUGGAGUCUAAAGUGAUAAUCUCAGCAGUUUGAUGUGAUCCAUGGUUAUGAGAUUCAGAACUAUGGUGCUUCGGGGGACAAUGACAGUUGUUCCAUAACUUUAAGAAGUUUGAGUCUCAAGAGAUCAUCUCCAGUGAAUUAGCCGCUUUUGACCAGAGUCAAAGUUCCUUUCUCCUCUUUGUUGUCUGAAGGCGAUAAGAAGAACAGAGCAGUGGACAGGGUCAGGAUUUGAUCGGUAGGACUU